rnacentral:rRNA from 1 species
UGCAAGUCGAGCGGACCUCUUCGGAGGUUAGCGGCGGACGGGUGAGUAACACGUGGGCAACCUGCCUGUAAGACUGGGAUAACUCCGGGAAACCGGAGCUAAUACCGGAUAGUAUCUUGAACCGCAUGGUUCAAGCUGGAAAGACGGUUUCGGCUGUCACUUACAGAUGGGCCCGCGGCGCAUUAGCUAGUUGGUGAGGUAAUGGCUCACCAAGGCAACGAUGCGUAGCCGACCUGAGAGGGUGAUCGGCCACACUGGGACUGAGACACGGCCCAGACUCCUACGGGAGGCAGCAGUAGGGAAUCUUCCGCAAUGGACGAAAGUCUGACGGAGCAACGCCGCGUGAGUGAUGAAGGUUUUCGGAUCGUAAAACUCUGUUGUUAGGGAAGAACAAGUGCGAGAGUAACUGCUCGCACCUUGACGGUACCUAACCAGAAAGCCACGGCUAACUACGUGCCAGCAGCCGCGGUAAUACGUAGGUGGCAAGCGUUGUCCGGAAUUAUUGGGCGUAAAGCGCGCGCAGGCGGUUUCUUAAGUCUGAUGUGAAAGCCCCCGGCUCAACCGGGGAGGGUCAUUGGAAACUGGGAAACUUGAGUGCAGAAGAGGAGAGUGGAAUUCCACGUGUAGCGGUGAAAUGCGUAGAGAUGUGGAGGAACACCAGUGGCGAAGGCGACUCUCUGGUCUGUAACUGACGCUGAGGCGCGAAAGCGUGGGGAGCGAACAGGAUUAGAUACCCUGGUAGUCCACGCCGUAAACGAUGAGUGCUAAGUGUUAGAGGGUUUCCGCCCUUUAGUGCUGCAGCUAACGCAUUAAGCACUCCGCCUGGGGAGUACGGUCGCAAGACUGAAACUCAAAGGAAUUGACGGGGGCCCGCACAAGCGGUGGAGCAUGUGGUUUAAUUCGAAGCAACGCGAAGAACCUUACCAGGUCUUGACAUCCUUUGCCACUUCUAGAGAUAGAAGGUUCCCCUUCGGGGGACAAAGUGACAGAUGGUGCAUGGUUGUCGUCAGCUCGUGUCGUGAGAUGUUGGGUUAAGUCCCGCAACGAGCGCAACCC